UGACACGACCCUUGAGUGACAGUUGUAUUUGAUUGCCUCCAGAACUGUGAGGAAAGGACUCGACUCUAUGGUGAGGACUGAUGGAUGUAAAUUAUCUGAGAAAAGAAACUACCAGGUGACAAACAGCAUGUUUGGUGCUUCAAGAAAGAAGUUUGUAGAGGGGGUCGACACUGACUACCAUGACGAAAACAUGUACUACAGCCAGUCUUCUGUGUUUCCACAUCGGUCAGAAAAAGAUAUGUAAGUGAAAAUGUGACAGGAUUGGACCUUUCAGAUUUUCCAGCAUUGGCAGGCCGAAACAGAGGGGAAGGAAGUGGUAACCCAACUCCAUUAAUAAACCCCUUGACUGGAAGAGCUCUUUAUGUGGGAAUGGUAACAAAACCAGCAAAUGAGCAAUCCCAGGUCUUCUCAAUACCCAGCGAAGAUUUUCCAGCAUUACCUGGUUCCAGCUAUAAAGAUCCAACAUCAAGUAAUGAUGACAGUAAAUCUAAUUUGAAUACAUGUGGCAAGACAACUUCAAGUACAGAUGGACCCAAAUUCCCUGGAGAUAAAAGUUCAACAACACAAAAUAAUAACCAGCAGAAAAAAGGGAUCCAGGUGUUACCUGAUGGUCGGGUUACUAACAUUCCUCAAGGGAUUGUGACGGACCAAUUUGGAAUGAUUGACCUGUUAACAUUUAUUGGGGCAGCAGAGACAGACCCAGGAAUGGUACAUCUUGCAUUAGGAAGUGACUUAACAACAUUAGGCCUCAAUCUGAACUCUCCUGAAAAUCUCUACCCCAAAUUUACAUCACCCUGGGCAUCUUCACCUUGUCGACCUCAAAACAUAGACUUCCAUGUUCCAUCUGAGUACUUAACAAACAUUCACAUUAGGGAUAAGCUGACUGCAAUAAAACUUGGUUGAUAUGGAGAAGAUCUUCUCUUCUAUCUGUAUUACAUGAAUGGAGAAGAUGCACUACAACUUUUAGCUGCAGUAAAGCUUUUUAACCGUUAUUGGAGAUACCACAAAGAAGAACGAGUAUGGAUUACCAGGGCACUGGGCAUGGAGCCAACAAUGAAAACCAAUACAUAUGAGAGGGGAACAUAUUACUUCUUUGACUGUCUUAACGGGAGGAAAGUAGCUAAGGAGUUCCAUCUGGAAUAUGACAAAUUAGAAGAAAGGCCUCACCUGUCAUCUACUUUCAACUACAACCCUGCUCAGCAAGCCUUCUAAAAA